UACCGUUUGGGGAGAUUGACAGACUGUUAUUUUGUUGAAAGGGUUCCUCAUGAGGGCUU
rnacentral:tRNA from 1 species